rnacentral:rRNA from 1 species
UACGUAGGUGGCGAGCGUUGUCCGGAUUUACUGGGCGUAAAGAGCGCGCAGGCGGUCGUGCAAGUCGCGUGUGAAAGCCCCCGGCUCAACUGGGGAGGGUCACGCGAUACUGCUCGACUCGAAGGCAGGAGAGGGAAGUGGAAUUCCCGGUGUAGUGGUGAAAUUCGUAGAUAUUCGGAAGAACACCAGUGGCGAAGGCGGCUCACUGGACUGGUAUUGACGCUGAGGUGCGAAAGCGUGGGGAGCAAACAGG